AGCAGACGUGCCUGCGGGAGCUCCCGGCUGGGAGCCCUCCUCGGCCCAAGGUAACUGCCCUGCCUGGCCGGAGCUUCCCCUCGCCCACUACCCAGAGGAGCCCGCGGAGCCUAUCCGGAGCCCGUACUGGGAGGAGCCCCCAGGAUUGCCGAGCGCCCGCUACGAGGAGGAGCCCCCUCGGCCCUGCUGUUACCCAGAGGAGCCGCCCGAGCAGUCCUGGCCCAACUUCCCAGAGGAGCUGCCGGACCUGCCGCCAAGCCCUCCACCGGAGCCGAUGCAGACCGACUGGCCUGAACCGGGUGUGACGGACGAGGUGCACCCUGUGCAGCUCCAGUGUUCAACUCUCCAAAGACAUGGACCAAGGCCGGAUUCAGAGGCCAGAAGGUGCCCAACUCACUAGCGAGUCCAUGAAAAAUCAAGAGUCACUUUAUCAAGCAGCACCUAGAGGCUCCAACCAAGAUCAGGGUCGCCUUGUGCCAGGCACUGUGCAGACACAUGGGAGGAGAGAGAACCUGCCAUGACGAGCUUCUGGCCUAAACAGAGGAGACAAAGGGUGAUUGAUCCCAGUUGUACAGAAGCUGGUCCAAUGCAUGAUACCACCUCACCCGCCUUAUCCGCUCCCACCUGUCAAUUCCCGGACCCAGGUGAGUUUGCCAGGAUGUGGAAGCA